rnacentral:rRNA from 1 species
UACGGAGGGUGCGAGCGUUAAUCGGAAUUACUGGGCGUAAAGCGCACGCAGGCGGUCUGUUAAGCUAGAUGUGAAAGCCCCGCGCUCAACGUGGGAGGGUCAUUUAGAACUGGCAGACUAGAGUCUUGGAGAGGGGAGUGGAAUUCCAGGUGUAGCGGUGAAAUGCGUAGAGAUCUGGAGGAACAUCAAUGGCGAAGGCA